rnacentral:misc_RNA from 1 species
GUAGGAGCUGCCGCAGGCUGCGAUCUUUUGAUCUGUCUUUUUUCCCUGGUGAAUCAAGAUCAAAAGAUCGCAGCCUGCGGCAGCUCCUAC